GAUUGAACGCUGGCGGCAGGCCUAACACAUGCAAGUCGGACGGUAGCACAGAGGAGCUUGCUCCUCGGGUGACGAGUGGCGGACGGGUGAGUAAUGUCUGGGAAACUGCCCGAUGGAGGGGGAUAACUACUGGAAACGGUAGCUAAUACCGCAUAACGUCGCAAGACCAAAGUGGGGGACCUCCGGGCCUCACACCAUCGGAUGUGCCCAGAUGGGAUUAGCUAGUAGGUGGGGUAAUGGCUCACCUAGGCGACGAUCCCUAGCUGGUCUGAGAGGAUGACCAGCCACACUGGAACUGAGACACGGUCCAGACUCCUACGGGAGGCAGCAGUGGGGAAUAUUGCACAAUGGGCGCAAGCCUGAUGCAGCCAUGCCGCGUGUAUGAAGAAGGCCUUCGGGUUGUAAAGUACUUUCAGCGGGGAGGAAGGCGAUGGAGUUAAUAGCUUCAUCGAUUGACGUUACCCGCAGAAGAAGCACCGGCUAACUCCGUGCCAGCAGCCGCGGUAAUACGGAGGGUGCAAGCGUUAAUCGGAAUUACUGGGCGUAAAGCGCACGCAGGCGGUCUGUCAAGUCGGAUGUGAAAUCCCCGGGCUUAACCUGGGAACUGCAUUCGAAACUGGCAGGCUAGAGUCUUGUAGAGGGGGGUAGAAUUCCAGGUGUAGCGGUGAAAUGCGUAGAGAUCUGGAGGAAUACCGGUGGCGAAGGCGGCCCCCUGGACAAAGACUGACGCUCAGGUGCGAAAGCGUGGGGGAGCAAACAGGAUUAGAUACCCUGGUAGUCCACGCCGUAAACGAUGUCGACUUGGAGGUUGUGCCCUUGAGGCGUGGCUUCCGGAGCUAACGCGUUAAGUCGACUGCCUGGGGAGUACGGCCGCAAGGUUAAAACUCAAAUGAAUUGACGGGGGCCCGCACAAGCGGUGGAGCAUGUGGUUUAAUUCGAUGCAACGCGAAGAACCUUACCUACUCUUGACAUCCAGAGAACUUAGCAGAGAUGCUUUGGUGCCUUCGGGAACUCUGAGACAGGUGCUGCAUGGCUGUCGUCAGCUCGUGUUGUGAAAUGUUGGGUUAAGUCCCGCAACGAGCGCAACCCUUAUCCUUUGUUGCCAGCGGUCCGGCCGGGAACUCAAAGGAGACUGCCAGUGAUAAACUGGAGGAAGGUGGGGAUGACGUCAAGUCAUCAUGGCCCUUACGAGUAGGGCUACACACGUGCUACAAUGGCGCAUACAAAGAGAAGCGACCUCGCGAGAGCAAGCGGACCUCAUAAAGUGCGUCGUAGUCCGGAUUGGAGUCUGCAACUCGACUCCAUGAAGUCGGAAUCGCUAGUAAUCGUAGAUCAGAAUGCUACGGUGAAUACGUUCCCGGGCCUUGUACACACCGCC
rnacentral:rRNA from 1 species